UUUUUAGAAAGUCACCAAAUGCCAUUGUUAUACAGACAAUAAUCUAAAUACAAUGCUAUAAGGAGCGUGAUAUCACUGAAUUAAUCUGAAUUUUGGUGCAGUCAAUAAUAAUGAGGUCUCUUGUGACAACAAAUUACCGCGAGAGCAGACAGCUUCUUUAAACGUUAUCGAAUCUCGCGGUACUUUGAUGUCAUACACCGAACAGUCUGCGCUGCGCAACGCCGUGUGACAUUGAAUACAGUUUUUUUUAUGGCACAGUCAGUACUUCAGUGUUUAAAAAAUCUCGUUGACAGUAGCGAUGUUUUACCCAAAUUCUAUAAAACAUCACGUUAAUAAACUUGUACUUGAUUUGACAGCGGCUUAAAAAAGUUUAAGAACCACUGCCCAACAGCCAGAGGGCUCUCUCGUUCAGAAACUCAAUGCGCUGCAGACGAAGAACCAUUACACACGCAGCUCCAGAAAAUGGCUAAAGCAUAUGUUUAUAUUUUGCUGUUCUUCAAACCUUUUCAGGUAUUUUGUUGAUAAUAAAGAAUAUGUGUAAUGAUUAUGUUUGACCAGUGUUGCUUUUUCAAAUGCAUAACGACUCCCUACUUAAAUGAUGCAUGUAAAUGUACACAUAUACCUCAAUGACAUUGUUUUUUAUUGCGUUUAUUCUUUUUAUAUUGAUUGAAUAUGAAAACGUUAAUUAAUCUGACUGAAAUUUGUGUUUAAUACUGAUUUAUGUUGUUUUCUGUUUAGUGUGUCCUGUUAAACUUGUUCAGAAACAUGAAGAUUAUAGUUUCUACAGAGCCUAAGGCUAUUUUUUUGCAUGGCAUCCACUGAUGGAUAAUCUGCUCACCUAAACAGGGUUGUGUUCAUACCAAGCAUUUGAUUGCUCAUCUGCUUUGGAGAAAGUUGGGGCUUUCCUGCUGAGAUUAUCUGAAAGGUCUUAAUUCUGAAAGAUGAAAGCCUCCACCUGUUGGCUGGCACUGGCGCCUGACAGUUUUCUCCAUCCUUUGAAUGAAGGCCACCACGAGUGGUCAUGUUAACCAAAUAUUUUGAAUCUUAGCCAGCAUAAUCCAUGGGCACCAGCUGUGAAAAGUGCAGGACAAACAUCUUCCUCCACCUGUGAGUCUCUUAUGUAGAUAAGCACUUCAGGAUAAACCAGGCUGUAAUCGGCUGAGAUGCACAGAUUCAACUCUGGCCCAUUGUCAUCCCAACACCUCAUCUGCCCAUCAGUUUCAUUUAGUGUCGGUCUAUUGCAAAAGUUCUUAUAAACUUUAAAUGAGACUUUGUGUAAAGCAGGGGUUUCCAAACCUUUAAUUCCACAACCUUUUAAGCCCGGGAUACAUUGCAGGAUGAGACACACGCAUGAGACAUAUUUUGCACAAGGGAACCACAUAUGUGACAAUCCGAACACUUAUUAUGAAUUAGCGCAUCCUCGGAAGUGCAGUCACGAGCCGCCACUGGUCUGCAGGUUGUAGCAGCAAACACGUUGAUCAUGCUAAAUUUCUGACACUGUCAGAAAAUUAUCGUAGGCUGUCUUUGGUACCAAGACCAGCAAAACGUCCGUCUUUGAACCUCUCUCACUUGUACGACAUGAGACCACCGAUUAAGAGCCAUGAUCACAGAAAACUCCAUUGUUUUACACACACAACAAUUGUUUUACAAUGGUAAUCUUACAUUUGGGACAUUUGGUUCUUUUUAUUUUCUAUACUUGCUAUACCAAAAUAACUUAUGGUAUAUCAAAGCCAUUGCUAAUAAUUAUUUGGGCAAGUCGUUAUUCAAUGCAACACUCCUUAUCUUACAGUUCAGCCCACAAGUGGAUUCUUAGCCACAGUUUAAAAACCCCGGUGUAAGAGGAUGUUGAGUUGUAAUUAAAUAAAGUCACAUCUAAGUCUUGUGGUUUGUCAUUAUAUUCACAGUGUAACUCGGUUCUUUUAGCAGUUACUACGUUACAGUGCUCUUAAAGUCUCAUGAUCAGCUCUGGGUUUUGUGAAGUUAUAUAAUGAGAAUGUGAUCAAUAGCUUUGCAGUAUUUUUGUAACACUGUGGCUGUAAUUGUAUGACCAAUUAUCACAUAGGUUAAACAUUUGAUUCAAAUUUAAUUUAGUAAACAAACUAGUUAGUAUAAUUCAUGCUGUGACUCUGGAUUACACCUGGUCAAAUAAAUAUGUCUAUUGUGUAUUCACUUUUUGUAUAAGGUUUCUUCAUCUACUGUAUAUAAACGUCACCUUUGGUUUGCUUAUUACAGUUUGUUGCUUUUUAACUAAAUGUUGUGAAAAUGCAAGGUGUGUUACACAAUUUCAACGGAUGGUGUGGGGUCAAAAAAUAUCAGACAAAAAGUCUCAACUUUAGAUACUGACAGACAC